AUACAUGCAAGUCGAGCGAGACCCUUUCGGAGCUUACUUUGAAAGAUGAAAGCGGCGGACGGCUGAGUAACACGUUGGUAACCUGCCCUGAAGUAGAGGACAACUUCGAGAAAUCGGAGCUAAUACUCUAUAAUAAUGGGGGGACGAAAGUCAUUCCCAUUUAAAGAUUUAUCGCUUCAGGAGGGGCCUGCGGCGUAUCAGCUUGUUGGUGAGGUAAAAGCUCACCAAGGCUAUGACGCGUAGGGGGUGUGAGAGCAUGAUCCCCCAGAAUGGUACUGAGACACGGCCCAUACUCCUACGGGAGGCAGCAGUAAGGAAUCUUCCGCAAUGGACGAAAGUCUGACGGAGCGACACCGCGUGAAGGAUGAAGGCUUUAGGGUUGUAAACUUCUUUUCUGAGGGAAUAAAUCUGAAGUUACCUCAGGAAUAAGCACCGGCUGACUACGUGCCAGCGGCCGCGGUAAUACGUAGGGUGCGAGCGUUAUCCGGAAUCAUUGGGUGUAAAGCGUCCGCAGGCGGAAGAGCAAGUCCGAAGUAAAAUCUUGGAGCUCAACUCCAAAAGCGUUUCGGAAACUACUUUUCUAGAGGAAUGUAGGGGCAAGUGGAAUUCCCAAAGUAGGGGUUAAAUCCGUAGAUCUUGGGAGGAACACCAAAAGCGAAGGCAGCUUGCUGGGCAUUUCCUGACGCUCAUGGACGAAAGCGUGGGGAGCGAAACGGAUUAGAUACCCGUGUAGUCCACGCCGUAAACGAUGGAUACUUGGUGUGGGAGUAGUCUACCUCUUCCGUGCCGAAGCUAACGCGUUAAGUAUCCCGCCUGGGGAGUACGGUCGCAAGAUUAAAACUCAAAGGAAUAGACGGGGACCCACACAAGCGGUGGAGCAUCUGGUUUAAUUCGAUAAUAAGCGGGGAACCUUACCGGGGCUUGACAUCCUCUGACACCCUCCGAAAGGAGGUUUUCCUUCGGGACAGAGUGACAGGUGCUGCAUGGUUGUCGUCAGCUCGUGCCUUGAGGUGUGCGGUUAAGUCCGUGAACGAGCGCAACCCUCGCCAUUAGUUGUAUGUUUCUAAUGGGACUGCCGGUUUUACGCCGGAGGAAGGUGAGGAUGACGUCAAAUCAGCAUGGCCCUUACGCCCCGGGCGACACAGGUGCUACAAUGGCCGAUACAAAGGGUUGCCAACCCGCGAGGGGGAGCUAAUCCCAUCAAAGUCGGUCUAAGUUCGGAUUGGAGUCUGCAAUUCGACUCCACGAAGCCGGAAUCGCUAGUAAUUGUGCAUCAGCCAUGGCACAGUGAAUAUGUUCCUGGGUCUUGUACUCACCGCCCGUCAAGUCAUGAAAGGCAGGGGCGCCCGAAGUCCUUCUAUUAAUGGAGGCCCACGGUGAAACUGCUGAUUGGGACUAAGUCGUAACAAGGUA
rnacentral:rRNA from 1 species